GUAGUCGUGGCCGAGUGGUUAAGGUGAUGGACUAGAAAUCCAUUGGGGUCUCCCUGCGCAGGUUCGAAUCCUGCCGACUACG
rnacentral:tRNA from 1 species